GAUGGAACAUCCUGUAAACUGUGACGUGGUGGCUCAGAACCAGGUUCUCGAAUUUCAACACCCCCGGACUUACGACGACCGGGACGCUCAGUCGCCUUUCCUUUGCCUUUAUCCACAGCUUUUCCUUUUCCCUUGCCUUUCGCAGUAUCCUUAUCCUUAGUUAAUACCUCAGGAACAAAAGUCUCCCAAUCCGGCUCGUCCUCCUCAGAAUCGUCGCCUGGAGCAUAUUCGCUCUCUUCAUNCGCAGUAUCCUUAUCCUUAGUUAAUACCUCAGGAACAAAAGUCUCCCAAUCCGGCUCGUCCUCCUCAGAAUCGUCGCCAGGAGCAUAUUCGCUCUCUUCAUCCUCCGGUUGAUACUCAAUCGACUUUUUAGCUUUUGAGCGCUGUCGCUUACUUCCACGACCACCGCCAGCCAUAAGAACCACAAGAACAA
rnacentral:lncRNA from 1 species